ACGAACGCUGGCGGCAUGCCUAACACAUGCACGUCGAACGAGACCUUCGGGUCUAGUGGCGCACGGGUGCGUAACGCGUGGGAACCUGCCCUUAGGUUCGGAAUAACUCCCCGAAAGGGGUGCUAAUACCGGAUAAUGUCUUCGGACCAAAGAUUUAUCGCCUUUGGAUGGGCCCGCGUUGGAUUAGCUAGUUGGUAGGGUAAAAGCCUACCAUGGCGACGAUCCAUAGCUGGUCUGAGAGGAUGAUCAGCCACACUGGGACUGAGACACGGCCCAGACUCCUACGGGAGGCAGCAGUGGGGAAUAUUGGACAAUGGGCGAAAGCCUGAUCCAGCAAUGCCGCGUGAGUGAUGAAGGCCUUAGGGUUGUAAAGCCCUUUUACCCGGGAUGAUAAUGACAGUACCGGGAGAAUAAGCGCCGGCUAACUCCGUG
rnacentral:rRNA from 1 species